rnacentral:lncRNA from 1 species
GCAAAGCGUGUGCAAAGUGUGUGCAGAAAGUGUGCAAAGUGUGUGCAAAGAGCGUGCAAAGUGUGUGCAAAGAGCAUGCAAAGAGUGUGCAAAGCGUGUGCAGAGAGAGUACAAAGCAUGUGCAAAGAGCAUGCAAAGAGUGUGCAAAGAGCAUGCAAAGCGUGUGCAGAGAGCGUGCAAAGUGUGUGCAGAGUGUGCAAAGUGCGUACAAAGAGUGUGCAAAGGGUGUGCAAAGAGUGUGCAAAGAGCAUGUGCAAUGAGCGUGCAAAGAGCGUGCAAAGUGUGUGCACAGCAUGUGCAAAGAGCAUGUGCAAUGAGUGUGCAAAGAGUGUGCAAAGAGCAUGCAAAACAUGUGCAGAGAGCGUGCAAAGUGUGUGCAGAGAGUGUGCAAAGCGUGUGCAAAGCGUGUGCAGAAAGCGUGCAAAGCGUGUGCAAAGAGCAUGCAAAGAGCAUGCAAAGUGUGCAAAGUGUGUGCAAAGAGCAUGCAAAGAGUGCAAAGCGUGUGCAGAGAGCGUGCAAAGAGCAUGCAAAGUGUGCAAAGUGUGUGCAAAGAGCAUGCAAAGAGUGUGCAAAGCGUGUGGAGAGAGCGUGCAAAGCGUGUGCAAAGCGUGUGCAGAAAGCGUGCAAAGUGUGUGCAAAGAGCGUGCAAAGUGUGUGCAAAGAGCAUGC